AGCGGCGGACGGGUGAGUAAUGUCUGGGAAACUGCCUGAUGGAGGGGGAUAACUACUGGAAACGGUAACUAAUACCGCAUAACGUCGCAAGACCUGAGAGGGGGACCUUCUGGCCUCUUGCCAUCAGAUGUGCCCAGAUGGGAUUAGCUAGUAGGUGGGGUAACGGCUCACCUAAGCGACGAUCCCUAGCUGGUCUGAGAGGAUGACCAGCCACACUGUAACUGAGACACGGUCCACACUCCUACGGGAGGCAUCAGUGGGGAAUAUUGCACAAUGGGCGCAAGCCUGAUGCAUCCAUGCCGCGUGUAUGAAGAAGGCCUUCGGGUUGUAAAGUACUUUCAGCGGGGAGGAAGGUGUUGAGGUUAAUAACCUCAGCAAUUGACGUUACCCGCAAAAGAAGCACCGGCUAACUCCGUGCCACCAGCCGCGGUAAUACGGAGGGUGCAAGCGUUAAUCUCAAUUACUGGGCGUAAAGCGCACGCGGCGGUCUGUCAAGUCGGAUGUGAAAUCCCCGGGCUCA
rnacentral:rRNA from 1 species